rnacentral:rRNA from 1 species
UGGCUCAGAUUGAACGCUGGCGGCAUGCCUUACACAUGCAAGUCGAACGGUAACAGGCCGCAAGGUGCUGACGAGUGGCGAACGGGUGAGUAACACAUCGGAACGUGCCUGAUAGUGGGGGAUAACUACUCGAAAGAGUAGCUAAUACCGCAUAAGAUCUCAGGAUGAAAGCAGGGGACCGCAAGGCCUUGCGCUAACAGAGCGGCCGAUGGCAGAUUAGGUAGUUGGUGGGAUAAAAGCUUACCAAGCCGACGAUCUGUAGCUGGUCUGAGAGGACGACCAGCCACACUGGGACUGAGACACGGCCCAGACUCCUACGGGAGGCAGCAGUGGGGAAUUUUGGACAAUGGGCGCAAGCCUGAUCCAGCAAUGCCGCGUGCAGGAUGAAGGCCUUCGGGUUGUAAACUGCUUUUGUACGGAACGAAAAAGCUCUGGUUAAUACCUGGGGCCUAUGACGGUACCGUAAGAAUAAGCACCGGCUAACUACGUG